UAGGGAAUCUUCGGCAAUGGGGGGAACCCUGACCGAGCAACGCCGCGUGAGUGAAGAAGGUUUUCGGAUCGUAAAGCUCUGUUGUUAAGGAAGAACGAGUGUGAGAAUGGAAAGUUCAUGCUGUGACGGUACUUAACCAGAAAGGGACGGCUAACUACGUGCCAGCAGCCGCGGUAAUACGUAGGUCCCGAGCGUUGUCCGGAUUUAUUGGGCGUAAAGCGAGCGCAGGCGGUUAGGAAAGUCUGAAGUGAAAGGCAGUGGCUCAACCAUUGUAGGCUUUGGAAACUGUUUAACUUGAGUGCAGAAGGGGAGAGUGGAAUUCCAUGUGUAGCGGUGAAAUGCGUAGAUAUAUGGAGGAACAACGGUGGCGAAAGCGGCUCUCUGGUCUGUAACUGACGCUGAGGCUCGAAAGCGUGGGGAGCGAACAGG
rnacentral:rRNA from 1 species